AUACGGAGGGGGCUAGCGUUGUUCGGAAUUACUGGGCGUAAAGCGUACGUAGGCGGACUGAUCAGUUGGGGGUGAGAUCCCAGGGCUUAACCCUGGAACUGCCUUCAAUACUGUCAGUCUUGAGUUUGGGAGAGGUGAGUGGAAUUCCUAGUGUAGAGGUGAAAUUCAUAGAUAUUAGGAGGAACACCAGUGGCGAAGGCGGCUCACUGGCCCAUUACUGACGCUGAGGUACGAAAGCGUGGGGAGCAAACAGGAUUAGAAACCCCAGUAGUCC
rnacentral:rRNA from 1 species